AGCGAACGCUGGCGGCAGGCUUAACACAUGCAAGUCGAGGGGUGCGGCAGUCGGGUGAGUAACGCGUGGGAACGUACCUUUUGGUUCGGAACACCACAGGGAAACUUGUGCUAAUACCGGAUACCGAAAGAUCGGCCCGCGUCUGAUUAGUUAGUUGGUGAGGUAAUGGCCCGCCAAGGCGACGAUCAGUAGCUGGUCUGUGAGGAUGAUCAGCCACAUUGGGACUGAGACACGGCCCAAACUCCUACGGAAGGCAGCAGUGGGGAAUAUUGAACGAUGGGGGCGGUCCUGAUCCAGCCAGGCCGCGUGAGUGAUGAAGGCGCUAGGGUUGUAAAGCUCUUUUGUGCGGGAAGCGGUACCGGAAGAAUAAGCCCCGGCUAACUACGUGCCAGCAGCCGCGGUAAUUC
rnacentral:rRNA from 1 species